ACGCUGGCGGCGUGCCUAAUACAUGCAAGUAGAACGCUGAAGCUUGGUGCUUGCACCGAGCGGAUGAGUUGCGAACGGGUGAGUAACGCGUAGGUAACCUGCCUGGUAGCGGGGGAUAACUAUUGGAAACGAUAGCUAAUACCGCAUAACAGUAGAUGUUGCAUGACAUUUGCUUGAAAGGGGCAAUUGCUCCACUACCAGAUGGACCUGCGUUGUAUUAGCUAGUUGGUGAGGUAACGGCUCACCAAGGCGACGAUACAUAGCCGACCUGAGAGGGUGAUCGGCCACACUGGGACUGAGACACGGCCCAGACUCCUACGGGAGGCAGCAGUAGGGAAUCUUCGGCAAUGGACGGAAGUCUGACCGAGCAACGCUGCGUGAGUGAAGAAGGUUUUCGGAUCGUAAAGCUCUGUUGUAAGAGAAGAACGAGUGUGAGAGUGGAAAGUUCACACUGUGACGGUAACUUACCAGAAAGGGACGGCUAACUACGUGCCAGCAGCCGCGGUAAUACGUAGGUCCCGAGCGUUAUCCGGAUUUAUUGGGCGUAAAGCGAGCGCAGGCGGUUAGAUAAGUCUGAAGUUAAAGGCUGUGGCUUAACCAUAGUACGCUUUGGAAACUGUUUAACUUGAGUGCAGAAGGGGAGAGUGGAAUUCCAUGUGUAGCGGUGAAAUGCGUAGAUAUAUGGAGGAACACCGGUGGCGAAAGCGGCUCUCUGGUCUGUAACUGACGCUGAGGCUCGAAAGCGUGGGGAGCAAACAGGAUUAGAUACCCUGGUAGUCCACGCCGUAAACGAUGAGUGCUAGGUGUUGGGUCCUUUCCGGGACUCAGUGCCGCAGCUAACGCAUUAAGCACUCCGCCUGGGGAGUACGACCGCAAGGUUGAAACUCAAAGGAAUUGACGGGGGCCCGCACA
rnacentral:rRNA from 1 species